AAUAGAUACCCCGGUAGUCCACGCCGUAAACGAUGAGUGCUAAGUGUUAGAGGGUUUCCGCCCUUUAGUGCUGCAGCAAACGCAUUAAGCACUCCGCCUGGGGAGUACGGCCGCAAGGCUGAAACUCAAAGGAAUUGACGGGGGCCCGCACAAGCGGUGGAGCAUGUGGUUUAAUUCGAAGCAACGCGAAGAACCUUACCAGGUCUUGACAUCCUCUGCCACUCCUAGAGAUAGGAUUUUCCCCUUCGGGGGACAGAGUGACAGGUGGUGCAUGGUUGUCGUCAGCUCGUGUCGUGAGAUGUUGGGCUAAGUCCCGCAACGAGCGCAACCCUUGAUCUUAGUUGCCAGCAUUCAGUUGGGCACUCUAAGGUGACUGCCGGUGACAAACCGGAGGAAGGUGGGGAUGACGUCAAAUCAUCAUGCCCCUUAUGACCUGGGCUACACACGUGCUACAAUGGAUGGUACAAAGGGCCGCAAAACCGCGAGGUUGAGCCAAUCCCACAAAACCAUUCUCAGUUCGGAUUGCAGG
rnacentral:rRNA from 1 species